rnacentral:rRNA from 1 species
GACGAACGCUGGCGGCGUGCUUAACACAUGCAAGUCGUACGGUAAGGCCCUUUCGGGGGUACACGAGUGGCGAACGGGUGAGUAACACGUGAGUAACCUGCCCACAACUUUGGGAUAACGCUAGGAAACUGGUGCUAAUACUGGAUAUGUGCUCCUGCUGCAUGGUGGGGGUUGGAAAGCUCCGGCGGUUGUGGAUGGACUCGCGGCCUAUCAGCUUGUUGGUGGGGUAGUGGCCUACCAAGGCGGCGACGGGUAGCCGGCCUGAGAGGGUGACCGGCCACAUUGGGACUGAGAUACGGCCCAGACUCCUACGGGAGGCAGCAGUGGGGAAUAUUGCACAAUGGGCGCAAGCCUGAUGCAGCAACGCCGCGUGCGGGAUGACGGCCUUCGGGUUGUAAACCGCUUUCAGCAGGGACGAAGCGUGAGUGACGGUAAUGGGUAAAGAAGCACCGGCUAACUACGUG